UGGCCUCUGCCCGGUUCGAGUACAGAGCGAUCGUGGUUCCUCCACAAGUAUGUCCCGGGACCCGCCCCUCUCCGUGGUGUGCACGCCUCCUCGUGAGGAAGCCUGAAGCGGGAAUGCGGCUCCCCCCUCCUGAGUGGAGGAGGACCCCAACGCUCACACGGCCAGGGUGGAGGCCAC
rnacentral:other from 1 species